GUCAACGUAUACGUCUGGCCGCGUGCAAGUAAGAGAGCACAUACAUAAUUCAUACAAUUAGCGGACAUGUCCGCUGCCCGGUUGCAGCAGGGGUAGCGCUCGAAUUCGCCCAGGGUAGUAGUGGCCAUGGACCAAGCCGUAGUAGCAUCAGCCGUGGCUGCAGUAGCACUGGCAGCGGCUAGGGGUUCAAAUUCGGCUCUAGAUGGGAUCCGCAGAGGGAAAUCGUGGUGGCGCGAAACGGGGGUUGAUAUCGAACGUAAACGAGCUAGGUAUGCGUUACUUAUACAUUUGUGUCCGCUAUACCAUGCCCACCCCUAUAUAUAUUUUCAUGUGUACCUAUAUGUCUAUAUAUUUAUCUAUACCUAAUGCAACCAAGUUCAUGCGAGUACGACUUCGUCGCUCUGCCCUGUAAUCACGAAUCGCACGCUGUAAUAAUUAUUGUCGCGGCUCUGUCAUCAGCGGCUAUAUCCACGUACCACUACGAUCCAUUCUGGUCCGAUGGGGGCAGACUCAUACUACUUUGGAAAAGUGGCCUCGUCAAGGCGCAUUGUACGCCGGUUUUAUAAUCAGUACGUUCUCGUUACGUUUAUUCAAUUGGGAAUUUGCUGACGGCACCAGAGAGGGGACGCUACAUCUAUUAUCGCCCGUGACGUCCUACGAGCUUCUUCGACGAUCAGCCGCUGAGACUUUUAUUUUAUUGGAUCUCUGACAGCUGUAACCACCAUGGAGCGAUAAGGCUUUUAACGAGAAGAAAGGAGAUACGCCUGGCUGUGGAUACGAGGGAUCUGGAGAUUUUUCAGUGCCGACUAAUGGCCUAGGACAUUAAUCGAAACGCAUGUCAAAGCCGUGGCGAAGAGUCCUGGUUCCCCAGCAACCCUCUCGGCGUCGUCCCGUCUCGAAACGAUAACUCAGCGAUAAUAGCAGCCCGUCUGUACAGGAGGGAUUUAA